rnacentral:rRNA from 1 species
CGUAGGGAGCAAGCGUUGUUCGGAUUUACUGGGCGUAAAGGGCGCGUAGGCGGCGCGGUAAGUCACUUGUGAAAUCCCUGAGCUUAACUCAGAACGGCCAAGUGAUACUGCAGUGCUAGAGUGCAGAAGGGGCAAUCGGAAUUCUUGGUGUAGCGGUGAAAUGCGUAGAUAUCAAGAGGAACACCUGAGGUGAAGGCGGGUUGCUGGGCUGACACUGACGCUGAGGCGCGAAAGCCAGGGGAGCAAACGGGAUU